AUGCUGGAGGUAUCAGAAGUGCGAAUGCUGACAUAAGUAACGAUAAUGCGGGUGAAAAACCCGCACGCCGGAAGACCAAGGGUUCCUGUCCAACGUUAAUCGGGGCAGGGUGAGUCGACCCCUAAGGCGAGGCAGAAAUGCGUAGUCGAUGGGAAACGGGUUAAUAUUCCCGUACUGGUGAUAAUUGCGAUGGGGGGACGGAGAAGGCUAGGCUGGCCGGGCGACGGUUGUCCCGGUUUAAGGAUGUAGGCAGGUGAAUUAGGCAAAUCCGGUUCACUAUAUGCUGAGGUCUGAUGACGAGUCACUACGGUGGCGAAGUAGCUCAUGCCCCGCUUCCAGGAAAAGCCUCUAAGCUCUAGAUUAUCAUUAAUCGUACCCCAAACCGACACAGGUGGUCAGGUAGAGAAUACUCAGGCGCUUGAGAGAACUCGGGUGAAGGAACUAGGCAAAAUGGUGCCGUAACUUCGGGAGAAGGCACGCUGGCGCUAGGUGAAGUGGUUUACCCAUGGAGCUGAAGCCAGUCGCAGAUACCAGCUGGCUGCAACUGUUUAUUAAAAACACAGCACUGUGCAAACACGAAAGUGGACGUAUACGGUGUGACGCCUGCCCGGUGCUGGAAGGUUAAUUGAUGGGGUUAUCCGUAAGGAGAAGCUCUUGAUCGAAGCCCCAGUAAACGGCGGCCGUAACUAUAACGGUCCUAAGGUAGCGAAAUUCCUUGUCGGGUAAGUUCCGACCUGCACGAAUGGCGUAAUGAUGGCCAGGCUGUCUCCACCCGAGACUCAGUGAAAUUGAACUCGCUGUGAAGAUGCAGUGUACCCGCGGCAAGACGGAAAGACCCCGUGAACCUUUACUAUAGCUUGACACUGAACAUUGAGCCUUGAUGUGUAGGAUAGGUGGGAGGCUUUGAAGUGUGGACGCCAGUCUGCAUGGAGCCAACCUUGAAAUACCACCCUUUAAUGUUUGAUGUUCUAACGUUGCCCCGUUAUCCGGGGUGCGGACAGUGUCUGGUGGGUAGUUUGACUGGGGCGGUCUCCUCCCAAAGAGUAACGGAGGAGCACGAAGGUUGGCUAAGCAUGGUCGGACAUCAUGCGGUUAGUGCAAAGGCAUAAGCCAGCUUGACUGCGAGAGUGACGGCUCGAGCAGGUACGAAAGUAGGUCUUAGUGAUCCGGUGGUUCUGAAUGGAAGGGCCAUCGCUCAACGGAUAAAAGGUACUCCGGGGAUAACAGGCUGAUACCGCCCAAGAGUUCAUAUCGACGGCGGUGUUUGGCACCUCGAUGUCGGCUCAUCACAUCCUGGGGCUGAAGUAGGUCCCAAGGGUACGGCUGUUCGCCGUUUAAAGUGGUACGCGAGCUGGGUUUAGAACGUCGUGAGACAGUUCGGUCCCUAUCUGCCGUGGGCGUUGGAAGAUUGAAAGGGGCUGCUCCUAGUACGAGAGGACCGGAGUGGACGCACCACUGGUGUUCGGGUUGUCAUGCCAAUGGCAUUGCCCGGUAGCUAAGUGCGGAAGAGAUAACCGCUGAAAGCAUCUAAGCGGGAAACUUGCCUUGAGAUGAGUCUUCCCUGACCCUUUAAGGGUCCUAAAGGAACGUUUAAGACUAAGACGUUGAUAGGUUGGGUGUGUAAGCAUAGCGAUAUGUUGAGCUAACCAAUACUAAUGAACCGUGAGGCUUAACCUG
rnacentral:rRNA from 1 species